rnacentral:lncRNA from 1 species
UUUUCUGUAUCCAUUCUUCUAUUGGAGGACAUCUGGGUUCUUUCCAGCUUCUGCCUAUUAUAAAUAAGGCUUCUAUGAACUUACUGGAGCAUGUGUUCUUACUACCAGUUGGAACUUCUUCUGGGUAUAUGCCCAGUAGUACUAUGGCAUAGUAGUACUAUGUCCAAGUUUCUGAGGAACCUCCAGACUGAUUUCCGGAGUGGUUGUAAAAGCUUGCAAUCCCACCAGCAGUGGAGGAGUGUUCCUCUUUCUCCACAUCCUCGCCAGCAUCUGCUGUCACCUGAAUUUUUGAUCUUAGCCAUUCUGACUGGUGUGAGGUAGAAUCUCAAGGUUGUUUUGAUUUGCAUUUCCCUGAUGAUUAAGGAUGUUGAACAUUUUUUAGGUGCUUCUCAGCCAUUCAGUAUUCCUCAGUUGAGAAUUCUUUGUUUAGCUCUGAAACCCAUUUUUUUUUUUUAAAGAUUUAUUUAUUUAUUAUAUGUAAGUACACUGUAGCUGUCUUCAGACACACCAGAAGAGGGAGUCAUAUCUUUUUACGGAUGGUUGUGAGCCACCAUGUGGUUGCUGGGAUUUGAACUCAGGACCUUCCGAAGAGCAGUCAGUGCUCUUAACCACUGAGCCAUCUCACCAGCCCCUGAAACCCAUUUUUUAAUGGGGUUAUUUGAAUUUCUGGAGUCCAGCUUCUUGAGCUCUUUGUAUAAAUUGGAUAUUAGUCCCCUAUCAGCUUUAGGUUUGGUAAAAAUCCUUUCCCAAUCUGUCGGUGGCCUUUUUGUCUUAUUGACGGUGUCUUUUGCCUUACAGAAGCUUUGCAGUUUUAUGAGGUCCCAUUUGUCAAUUCUUGAUCUUAUAGCACAAGCCAUUGCUGUUUUGUUUAGGAAAUUUUCCUGUGUACCCAUAUCUUCGAGGCUUUUCUCCACUUUCUCCUCUACUAAUUUCAGUGUCUCUGGUCUUAUGUGGAGGUCUUUGAUCCACUUAGACUUGAGCUUUGUACAAGGAGAUAAGAAUGAAUCAAUUCGCAUUUUUCUACAUGAUAACUGCCUGUUGUGCCAGCACCAUUUGUUGAAAAUGCUGUCUUUUUUCCCACUGGAUGGUUUUAGCUCUCUUGUCAAAGAUCAAGUGACCAUAGGUGUGUGGGUUCAUUCUGGGUCUUCAAUUCUAUUCCAUUGAUCUACCUGUCUGUCACUGUACCAGUACCAUGCAGUUUUUAUCACAAUUGCUCUGUAGUACAGCUUGAUGUCAGGCAAUGUGAUUCUACCAGAGGUUCUCUUAUUGUUGAGAAUAGUUUUUGCUAUCCUAGGUUUUUUAUUUUUCCAGAUGAAUUUGCAAAUUGCCCUUUCUAUCUCAGUGAAGAAUUGAGUUGGAAUUUUGAUGGGGAUUGCAUUGAAUGUGUAGAUUGCUUCCAGCAGGAUAGCCAUUUUUACUAUAUUAAUCCUGCCAAUCCAUGAGCAUGGGAGAUCUUUCCAUCUUCUGAGAUCUUCUUCAAAAAUAUCCAGUUUUUAAAAAGGAAAUAAAUUUGAAAUGCAGUGUUAUAGGUGAGAAGAAAUCUGCAUGAUAUAUGUUGUCUGUAACUGGAAGAAGACACUUUGGGAAACCGCUGGAGCAUAAGUACUGUGGCCCUUGCUGCAUAUUGAAAAUUACAAGGUAGUUUGUGACAGUGUCUGUACUUCACCUACUGACUGGUAUUUCCUUCUUUUUUCUGGCUUGCUUCUUUGGUAAGUUGUUGCUUUAACAUAAUAUUCUGUUCUUCUAGGAAUCAUUCAUGAUAAGAAUCUAUGAAUAAUGCUUUUCUGUUGGUGCCAUUUCGUUGAUACGUUGCAGGUGAAUUUACUCCUGAAAUGCAGGUGAGAAUUCGACAAGAGAUUGAGAAGGAGAAGAAAGUAGAGCUGUGGAAGGAACAAUUCUUUGAAAAUUACUAUGGUCAGAGGUAAGCUAAGGCAGACUCUGUAUCCAGCUGUCAAUGUCACAUGUCAUGUGACACCUCUAUGUUUUUACCUUAUUGGAAACUCUAGUGCCUACAUACCUGUAAUUUUUUAUAUCAUGAAUUCUUUUUCAUUAAUAAUAGCCUUAGCUGGGCGUGGCGGCGCACUCCUUUAAUCCCAGCACUCGGGAGGCAGAGGCAGGCAGAUUUCUGAGUUUGAGGCCAGCCUGGUUUACAAAGUCAGUUCCAGGACAGCCACGAUUACAUACAUAGGGAAACCCCAUCUUGAAAAACCCAUACAAAAGAGCCGCUUUUUGUUUUGUUUUUAAGGAAUCAUGAGUAUACAGAAUUGUUUCUCUCAUAAUCCUUGGUCCUUAACUUACAUUGUACUUAAAGUGGGUUCCACUUACU